GGUAGGAGUCAGGCGUGGAGAGCAGAGGGUUUACUAGGAGUGGUGGGUAGGAGUCAGACGUGGAGAGCAGAGGGUUUACUAGGAGUGGUGGGUAGGAGGCAGGCGUGGAAAGCAGAGGGUUACUAGGAGUGGUGGGUAGGAGUCAGGCGUGGAGAGCAGAGGGGUUACUAGGAGUGGUGGGUAGGAGUCAGGCGUGGAGAGCAGAGGGUUUACUAGGAGUGGUGGGUAGGAGUCAGGCGUGGAGAGCAGAGGGGUUACUAGGAGUGGUGGGUAGGAGUCAGGCGUGGAGAGCAGAGGGGUUACUAGGAGUGGUGGGUAGGAGUCAGGCGUGGAGAGCAGAGGGUUUACUAGGAGUGGUGGGUAGGAGUCAGGCGUGGAGAGCAGAGGGGUUACUAGGAGUGGUGGGUAGGAGUCAGGCGUGGAGAGCAGAGGGGUUACUAGGAGUGGUGGGUAGGAGUCAGGCGUGGAGAGCAGAGGGGUUACUAGGAGUGGUGGGUAGGAGUCAGGCGUGGAGAGCAGAGGGUUUACUAGGAGUGGUGGGUAGGAGUCAGGCGUGGAGAGCAG